GAUUCCCCUAGUAACUGCGAGUGAAGCGGGAAAAGCUCAAAUUUAAAAUCUGGCGGUCUCUGGCCGUCCGAGUUGUAAUCUAGAGAAGUGUUACCCGCGCUGGACCGUGUACAAGUCCCCUGGAAUGGGGCGUCAUAGAGGGUGAGAAUCCCGUCUCUGACACGGACUACCAGGGCUUUGUGGUAUGCUCUCAAAGAGUCGAGUUGUUUGGGAAUGCAGCUCAAAAUGGGUGGUAAAUUCCAUCUAAAGCUAAAUAUUGGCGAGAGACCGAUAGCGAACAAGUACCGUGAGGGAAAGAUGAAAAGAACUUUGGAAAGAGAGUUAAACAGUACGUGAAAUUGCUGAAAGGGAAACGCUUGAAGUCAGUCGCGUUGGCCGGGAAUCAGCCUCGCUUUUGCGUGGUGUACUUUCUGGUUGACGGGUCAGCAUCAAUUUUGACCGCUGGAAAAAGGCUUGGGGAAUGUGGCAGCUCCGGCUGUGUUAUAGCCCCUUGUCACAUACAGCGGUUGGGAUUGAGGAACUCAGCACGCCGCAAGGCCGGGUUUCGACCACGUUCGUGCUUAGGAUGCUGGCAUAAUGGCUUUAAGCGACCCGUCUUGAAACACGGACCAAGGAGUCUAACAUGCCUGCGAGUGUUUGGGUGGAAAACCCGAGCGCGUAAUGAAAGUGAAAGUUGAGAUCCCUGUCGCGGGGAGCAUCGACGCCCGGACCAGAACUUUUGGGACGGAUCCGCGGUAGAGCAUGUAUGUUGGGACCCGAAAGAUGGUGAACUAUGCCUGAAUAGGGUGAAGCCAGAGGAAACUCUGGUGGAGGCUCGUAGC
rnacentral:rRNA from 1 species